GGGCCCGCACAAGCAGUGGAGUAUGUGGUUUAAUUCGAAGCAACGCGAAGAACCUUACCAGGUCUUGACAUCGAGUGACGAACUAAGAGAUUAGUUUUUCCUUCGGGACACGAAGACAGGUGGUGCAUGGUUGUCGUCAGCUCGUGUCGUGAGAUGUUGGGUUAAGUCCCGCAACGAGCGCAACCCUUACCUUUAGUUGCUACGCAAGAGCACUCUAAAGGGACUGCCGUUGACAAAACGGAGGAAGGUGGGGAUGACGUCAAAUCAUCAUGCCCCUUAUGACCUGGGCUACACACGUACUACAAUGGCAAUUAACAAAGAGCAGCAAAGCGGUGACGCAGAGCGAAUCUCCAAAAAUUGUCCCAGUUCGGAUUGCAGGCUGCAACUCGCCUGCAUGAAGUCGGAAUUGCUAGUAAUCGCAGAUCAGAAUGCUGCGGUGAAUACGUUCCCGGGCCUU
rnacentral:rRNA from 1 species